AACGCACAUUGCGCCCCUUGGUAUCCCGAGGGGCAUGCCUGUCCGAGCGUCGCAGGAAGGGAAUCGAGCCCGUAGGGCCCGGUCUUGGGGGCUGGCCUCUGUCUGACGGAGGCCCCCCUGAAAUUCAUCGGCGAGGAAACCGACCCCCGGCGUAUUAGAUUUCUGAACGUCAGGAGCACCGGUAGACUCCGCCGUACAAUCUUUUUUGUCACAAUCGACCUCGGAUCAGGUAGGAAUACCCGCUGAACUUAA
rnacentral:misc_RNA from 1 species